GGCAGACGGGUGAGUAACGCGUGGGAACCUACCCUGGGGUACGGAAUAACUCAUGGAAACGUGAGCUAAUACCGUAUACGUCCUUUGGGAGAAAGAUUUAUCGCCCUUGGAUGGGCCCGCGUUGGAUUAGCUAGUUGGUGAGGUAACGGCUCACCAAGGCGACGAUCCAUAGCUGUUCUGAGAGGAAGAUCAGCCACACUGGGACUGAGACACGGCCCAGACUCCUACGGGAGGCAGCAGUGGGGAAUCUUGGACAAUGGGCGCAAGCCUGAUCCAGCCAUGCCGCGUGAGUGAUGAAGGCCCUAGGGUUGUAAAGCUCUUUCACCGGUGACGAUAAUGACGGUAGCCGGAGAAGAGGCCCCGGCUAACUUCGUGCCAGCAGCCGCGGUAAUACGAAGGGGGCUAGCGUUGUUCGGAAUUACUGGGCGUAAAGCGCACGUAGGCGGAUGAUUAAGUUAGAGGUGAAAGCCCAGGGCUCAACCCUGGAAUUGCCUUUAAUACUGGUCAUCUUGAG
rnacentral:rRNA from 1 species